rnacentral:rRNA from 1 species
AUUGAACGCUGGCGGCAGGCCUAACACAUGCAAGUCGAGCGAGCGGCGGACGGGUGAUUAAUGUAUGGGGACUGCCCGAUAGAGGGGGAUAACUACAGGAAACGGUAGCUAAUCCCGCAUACUAUCGGAUAACCCAUAUGGGAUUAGCUAGUAGGUGAGGUAAUGGCUCACCUAGGCGACGAUCACUAGCUGGUCUGAGAGGAUGAUCAGCCACACGGGGACGGAGACACGGCCCAGAUUCCUACGGAGGCAGCAGUGGGGAAUAUUGCACAAUGGGCGCAAGCCUGAGGCAGCCAUGCCGCGUGUAUGAAGAAGGCCCUAGGGUUGUAAAGUACUUUCAGUCGGGAGGCGUUACCGACAGAAGAAGCACCGGCUAACUCCGUGCCAGCAGCCGCGGUAAUUC